rnacentral:rRNA from 1 species
AUUGAACGCUGGCGGCAUGCUUUACACAUGCAAGUCGAACGGUAACAGGCCGCAAGGUGCUGACGAGUGGCGAACGUGUGAGUAAUGCAUCGGAACGUGCCCAGUCGUGGGGGAUAACGCAGCGAAAGCUGUGCUAAUACCGCAUACGAUCUGUGGAUGAAAGCGGGGGACCGCAAGGCCUCGCGCGAUUGGAGCGGCCGAUGUCAGAUUAGGUAGUUGGUGGGGUAAAGGCUCACCAAGCCGACGAUCUGUAGCUGGUCUGAGAGGACGACCGGCCACACUGGGACUGAGACACGGCCCAGACUCCUACGGGAGGCAGCAGUGGGGAAUUUUGGACAAUGGGCGCAAGCCUGAUCCAGCAAUGCCGCGUGCAGGAAGAAGGCCUUCGGGUUGUAAACUGCUUUUGUACGGAGCGAAAAGGCUCUCUCUAAUACAGGGGGCUCAUGACGGUACCGUAAGAAUAAGCACCGGCUAACUACGUGCCAGCCGCCGCCGUAACAC